CCUACGGGGGGCAGCAGUGAGGAAUAUUGGUCAAUGGACGCAAGUCUGAACCAGCCAAGUCGCGUGCGGGAAGACGGCUCUAUGGGUUGUAAACUGCUUUUAUACGGGGGUAAACUGAGUAACGCGUGCCUCAUUGCAAGUACCGUAUGAAUAAGGAUCGGCUAACUCCGUGCCAGCAGCCGCGGUAAUACGGAGGUUCCAGGCGUUAUCCGGAUUUAUUGGGUUUAAAGGGUGCGUAGGCGGUCGGUUAAGUGAGUGGUGAAAGGCCGGGGCUCAACCAUGGAACUGCCGCUGAUACUGGGGGGCUUGAGUGCGUUGGAGGUAGGCGGAAUGCGUGGUGUAGCGGUGAAAUGCGUAGAUAUCAAGCAGAACACCGAUUGCGAAGGCAGCUUACCGAGCCAUUACUGACGCUGAGGCACGAAAGCGUGGGGAGCGAACAGGAUUAGAUACCCUAGUAGUC
rnacentral:rRNA from 1 species